CUGAAUAUUAACAUUCAUUGCCUCCCCUGUCAUUUGCCAUGGGUGAAAAUGCUCUAAGAUCUCGCGACAGUCAGAAAAUCCUGGUAAUUGUUUGCUUCAGGCCCAUUACUUUCCCAAAUCAUGUUCGAAGUUUGAAUAGCGCUGACCUUUAGUCGAAUAUUAUUUGAUUUCCAAACCUCUCUCUCUCUUCACAAUUUGCAAACUUCUUCAUUCUUCAUUCUCUCUCUCUGUGAAAGUGAAAGUGAAACACAGUUGCGUUUGAGUUCACUAAGUAAAUCAAAAUCAGCGAAACCCUAAAUCCACCCACCCACUAUCUCAUUCUGAUCGAAUCGUUUUUGAAUUGAUCACUUUUUCACUUUCGUCAAUUUGUCUUCUUUCUUUUUCUGCGUUGUUGUUUAUGUGAAUUUGAAGAGUUGUGUUCUCUGUUCUUGGUUCUGGGAAUGAAGGGGAAAAUGGAAGGUGAUUUUCAGUUUGGGUCGAAUUCAAAUUCUUUGGAUCUUCUCUCUGAGGUUGCAGUUGUUGUCAAAGAUUGGGAGGAAGAAGAUGUUGAGAAGGCCAUGGCCAUGGCUUUGAGAAGCUGCUGCAACCCACUUCAGGGAUUUUGGUUUGAUUGGUAUUUGGUUUAUGACAAGGCCACGGUCAAAAUAACGAAUAGGUUUCAUCAUCAUCAUCAUUCGCCUUGGAUAUGUUGCUUCAAGUUACAAGCAAUCAAUUGAUGGAGUUGAAAAAAGCCAACACGUUCAGAGGCAUAUGCGUAGUCUUUCUUAUAAGUUGGAUGGCGGAAUCAUGAGAAUCGCAAGAAAGUCCUUUAGCCCUCCUCAUAUUGGAACUUUUAUUCCUUGGUAUCUGAUGGAUUGGGAUGGAAUCAUGAGAAUCAAUUGGCAAAAACAACCUUCUUGCCAAUUGAUUCUCAUGAUUCCAUCCCAAUCCAUCAGAGGAAGAAAAGGUCCAAUAUGAGGAGAAGACUAAAAGGGAUUUCUUGCCAAUUGAUUCUCAUGAUUCCGCCAUCCAACUUAUAAGAAAGGAUAUGCAAGAAUUAGAAAGGGUUUUGGCAGAGAAGGGUACUGUUGACUUCACACUCUUCCCAUUCAACGACAUUUGCAUGCACAAGAAGAAAGCUGCCAAAGUGAAUGCAAUGAAGCUCUGCUCAUUCCGGCUUAACUCCCCUUCCUGUUCAAACUGUUAGUGCAUACAUAUAAUGACUAGUCCUCUGUAAUUCUUGAGCAAUUCUUCUCUGUGGUUCUGAUUUCUACUUCCUUUCUUGAGCAACGAGGAAGAAAAAAGAGCCAACCAGUUCACUGCCUCAGUGAAGAGGUCGUUCAGAAAAUGCAAAUGAGAAUGAAGCACCGGUGGAGAGCAUUGCUUGUAAAUGAGGUAAGAUUCUUAUAAGCAACCAAAACUAAUCUCGAAAUUCAAAAUUAUGUGGUUGAAGAUAAGAGAAUAUUUAGCUCACAAUCAGACAUAUCACAUGGACCUCUCGUUGAAUUCUUAUAGCAGCCAAUAGUGACAAGCCUAAGCUCAUGAGUCCAUUUGGAGAGCGAUGAACAACAGAGUAAUGAGGAUGAAAUGUCUAUUGGUGCAGUGCAUAGCAUAUUUCUUGACCUUUUGACAAUUUGAUUUCUAACCAGCAUAUCCUGCUCUAUAUCCUUCAGGCAUAAUAUUUUUUUUAAAAAAAAUUUGGUUCGCCAUGCCAGCCUAUUAUUUUUAUGUUCAGUAACAGUGAACUUAUCUACUUUGACCACCUUCUUUUUGGCUACUUAUUAAUUAAUCUGACCAGAACCAGGAAUAAAGAAUAAAACAUUAGUUGAAGAAGAAUGAGAACUUUGUGUCAAGACUUUUCAGAAGUUUUUCCCUAAAAUAGUUACAUUAGGUUUCCAGAGUAAAUAUGAAACACUAAAAUGUAUUAGGUUUUGGUACACUAUUAAAUAGAGAUUCUUUUCCUCAAAAAGAAAAAAGUUUCUAAGUUUUCUUUACAUGGCUGUUCUUGUUGCUCUCUCUCUCUCCCUCUUCAUUUAUUUUUCUCCCAACCUUCUCAGUUUCAUCUCACUUUUUGAGGCUAUCAAAUAUCAGUUAUGUGCUUGGUGCAACAUUUCUGUAUAUGUACUAUGUUCACUGCAUUGAAAGUCUUGUUUACCUGAUUGUUCUUGUUGUUAGGUCUCUCUUUAUCCCCCUCCCCCUUUCCUCUUUUCCUGAUCUUCUCGCUUUCAUCUCAGUUUUUGAGGCUUUCAGGUAUCGGUUGUGUGCUUGGUGCAGGAUUUCUGAACAUGUACUGUGCUCACUAUACAAGGGAAGUUUCUCUAGAACUUAUAUUGAUCUAUAUUUUGCUAUGAAAUGCAAAUCACACUUAUGCAUCCAAAUCUUUCAAGGUGGCUAAGCAUUUUAAAUAAGUCUUGGAUGGUCUACCAGGUUUACGUUGUUUUUCAGCUGAUCAUAUGAAUUAUCUUGAUUGAUGAUUAUGUAUGGACAACUUGUCUGUCUUUCCUUGUAUGUUUAUUAAACUGUAAGCUCUCUUGUAUGAAAAAAGAGGUCGGUGUAUUCUUACUCUUGUUAGGUGAUAUCUUGCUUCCUUACUCUUGUUUUGGUUGGGAUUUCAUCUCAAAAGUAAAUUUAUAAUUGAAAUUAUUUCUUCUGAAAGGUUAUAUUUGACACAUGAUUGUUAUUUUUUUUGGGAUUCCUGAGCAAUGUUGUUUGAAAGAUUUUGUAGGGUUUGCAACAAAUUGAAUUUAUUCUUUGUUUAGCCGAAAAAAAAAAAGGUUAGAAAGAGGGUGAAAAAAGGCGUGAUGAUCCUAAAUGGCUCAACUUCACAUUCCCUGCUUGCAAAAUGGAUACUUCACAUGCCCCAUUCCCUUUAUUCUGAAAUUACAGCUAAAUUCUGAUACUUAGUUGUAAGAAAAUACUUAAAGCAUUUGGAUGGAAUGAAUUUGAUUCUUGCAUUUACCAAUUAUGAAGGAUUGAAUUGUAUUUGUGUAAUCUCUUCAAUGGAAUAAAAUUGUGCUAUGGUUUUCUCUCCAUGCCAAAAUUGAGACUCGCACACUGUUCUGUCUAUUUAUCAAAUUAUGAUGCAUUUCCUCAAAUUUAAUGCUUCAUAUUUGGAAUUGAAAUUCAUUUGUUAGAUAGAUUAUACGUAACUUGAUUUCUAAUUGUUAGCUGGUCACAACAUCAAUUCAAUGAGGCAUGAAAAGAAUGUGUCGACAUGUGAAAAAUAAGAGAACAGAAAACAGAAAGAGUGGCUGAGGGAAAUGAAAAUGUGUUUAUUCAUUGGAAUAUUGUAGUUGUAUAACGAUUCUAGUUUUGCUUUAAUUUGAACUUACAUAAUAUCAGGCAUGAAGCAAAUUUUAUCAGGAAUAUCAUUAACGAGAUCACUAGACGAUUGAACAACAGCUACCAUACAUGUAGCCCCCCUACCAAGUUGGAAUAGAUUUUCGGGUGCAAGCUAU